ACUCUGGUGGCCUGACUGGGGUCAGCCCUCCCGGCCCACCCCUCUGCUGUAGGAUGGGCUCCUCCUGACCCUGUGUUAACCCUCUUAUCUGUGACCAGCCAGGGUCACCCAGAACCCCGCCUACAGACAGAGACCCUGGCCUUUUGACCAGCUCAGGCUCCAUGUCCACUGACUUUGGACCCUGCCAGCCCAUCACUGUUUGGCUUUCAGGAGGUUGACAGGUCAGCUUCUGCCAAGUCUUCCGCCCCCGCCUCCCCCGGGGCCCGCUGAGCCUGGUCCAGAUAAGUGAGCUGGCGAUCACCUCAUGACCCUGAAGCCGGGGCAGCUGGUGCCCACACCUUCUGGGCCAGCGGGUUCCCAUGGCUGUGUCCACUGGCCCUCUGUGCCCCUCCCCUGCUCCUGGCCCCGAACGCUCACAGGCUGGCACAGUAGGUGUGGCCCAGGUCAGUGAUCCUUCGCAGGUCUUCCCUGGAGAAGUCCACCCUGUGGCCCUCUUGGACCUACACCCCAAACCACCGCCCAGGCCACCUCUCUCCCAAGUCGGCCGGCCAGCACAGGGCUCAGUCGGACGCGCUGAGCUGUGGAGUGGCCCCGCCUCUGGCCCCGCAGCUGCCCUCACCUCUGUGCCUGCUCAUGUCAAUGAGCCGCCAGGCCCUGCGGGCAGCGUUGAGGGCACCCUCGACCACGCACUCAGGCUGCCCGACAAAGGUGUAGACGGUGCGGUUGGUGGAGGGGCCCGCGUCGACGUCCAGCAGAACGCAGCCUGGGGUCUGCGAGAUGGCUUGGGAGAUGGCCUCGAUCACCUGGGAGGGCCCCAGACUCAGACCCAGGAGGCAGCUCUGCAGCAGCUGCACCUGCCCCAGCCCCGGCCUGGGAAGGGGUCAGCGGGGAGACCCCGUCCACGGGCCCUGGUGGACGCACGCAGCAAGGAGCAGGAGGGACAGGCGGCGCGGCUCACCAGGCGAAGAGCGGCUUGCUGUCCUCCUUGGAGAGCUCGCACAGGCAGUUCAGCAGCAGCAGCGAGUCGCCCAGGAACUUCGGCGGCACGAUGUCGAUGACCAGCUUGCGCAGCGCGGCGGGGCUGCUGUGCAGCGGGUUGGCACGCAGGUCGGGCCGCUGCUUCAGGAUGCCGUAGGUGUUGAUGAGGAACUCGCUGAAGACGGGGUGCACCUCGCGGCUGUAGCCCAGCUUCUCCAGCCGGGCCGUCAGCGUCAGGGAUGUUGGACACGGUGAAGCCGUAGAGCCGCGUCACGCCUGGGAACACGUAGGCCAGGAUGCGCCGGUCCAGCUGGAAGGCGAUCUCUCCAACAAUGCGGCCGUCCUUCUCAGCACCCGCGAAGCUCUGGAUCUCUGCGUGAGGAGAGGCAGGCGCGGCUCCCGGUCAGAACCACCCAGGGGGCCUGGCCCCCACUGCUCGGCAAGAGCAGAGACCUCGAGUGGAAGGGAGCCCUCCCUCUGGUCUGCCCUCAGAGGUUCUUUGGGGGCCAGGCACUGUGGCCCCCUCCUCUGCCAGAGGUGUGUGGGCCGCUUCAGAAGCUGAGCCAGCCCAGCCUGCUACCUAGGGCAGUGCCCAGGGUUGGUCUCCCUGCCCAGUGCAGGGCUGCCCUGCUGACCUGGAUGCCACCCUGCCACCAGGCACCGAGGAGAGGGCUAGGUGUGUGCCCUGGCCUGAGGACAGUGAGGGGCAGUGGCCCCACAGCCGAGGGAAGGGUGAGACUCUGGGGUACACGGCCAGUCCUGGGCCGCUCAGGCCGGCUCUUCUCCGACUGUGCAGGGAAUGCGGGCUGGCAGGAGACCCUGUUCAUUAUUCCCUGUCACCACCUGGAACACUUCCUCCCACACACAUAAACGGCUCCCGAAUGCCCCUCAGGCAGCCUCUGACGCCCCUGGAGGCACUGGCCACCUGAUGCAAUGCAGGUCAAGACCCUUCAAGACUGUGGGCUCUUGGAGGACGAGUCACAGCGAGGCCCUGGCUGGAGAUCGCUUUGGCCGUUGCCCCACCCUCCUCUCUGCCCAUCCCUGAAGUGCAAGAGCAAGCGUGCCCACAGCUGCUCCCCUGCCGGUGCCCUCGGAGGCCCCUCCCCCCAUGGAGACGCACACAGGCACACCCACAUCCACAGCCUCCUGAAGGCCCUGAGACCUCCUCCUCAGAGCCUCUCAGAGCUGCCAGCUGGGCGAGGGCAGGUGCAGGUGCAGGUCCUGUGCCCCCAUGACACAGUUCAGCACCACACUCAGGACCCCAGUGCCGUGGAGGCAGUGCUGACCCUGCCCUGUGCAGCUAGUGCCCAUGGCCUUGGAGUGUCUGGGGCGCUCCAACCCAGCCCCAGAGACCCAGGACCUCCUGGUCACCAUGGAGUGUGAGGGGCCAAGGCCGGGACCAUUCUGCCCGCUGCUCACCCUGGACAGACAUAUGCCCACCAGAUGUCAAGUCCUGUACCAGGGGCCAGAUACACAGUGAUGGACGAUUGUGUCUGCGGAUGAGCCCGGGCAGCUGAGGCUGUGGACUCGGCUGCUGUGGAGGUGCAUGGGACCAGGCCAGAGGAAGCUUCUGCCGGGGCAGGGUCCUUCCCGGGCAUGCACACAAGGACCAGGCACACAGAGGCUGGGCCAGUGCUGUCCAGGACACUGUGUCAACUGCCGUGUCCCCUACAGGACCAGCCCCUCCCAAGGCAUCUACACUGUUUCCCAAAGUGUGCUCCAUGGAACGUGGGCCUGCCGGGCAGAUGCAGAAAGGCUGCGCGCUGCCAGAGCUGGGAUGAUGCGCUGCUCCCUGCACAGGCUGCUGGAAGCUAAGCUGGCACUGCCACAGCCUGUCUCCCCAGCCAGACACGGCAGGGGCGCGCCCUUGGGCAUCCUGUCACUGCAGCGCCUUCUGGCCCAGGAGGAAGAGGCCUCUGUGUGGGCGGCUGAGACAGGCCAGGAGCCAGGCUGGGGCAGGAGGAUGCAGGCUGCUUUGCAUGGUCCCUCCCUUGGCACACUUCCCAGACUUUAUGGAAUGUGGUUCCCCUGCACAAAGAUCCUUCGGGGGAGCCGAGACAGCUGUGGGAACUGGGUCUGGGGCACCUGCUACAACAUUUGCAUCACCUCAAAAUAAAUCCUGUCCCUGAUAACAACUACUCCCCCAGCCCCUGAUGACCAGCAGUCUGUUUUCCGUCUCUGUGUGUUCAUCUGUUCGGGACGUUCCACAGAAUGUGUGGCCUUUCGUGUCUGGCUUCGUGGCACUCAGCAUGGUGUUCCGAGGCCCAUCCACAUGGAAGUGAGUCCCAGUGCUUCAUUCCUGUUUAUGGCUGAGUAAUAUUCCAUCAUGGAGUUAGAUCAUAAAGUUUUAUCUGCACUGGCCAGCUCAUGGGCAUCUGGCU